rnacentral:rRNA from 1 species
ACGAAGGGGGCUAGCGUUGCUCGGAAUCACUGGGCGUAAAGGGUGCGUAGGCGGGUCUUUAAGUCAGGGGUGAAAUCCUGGAGCUCAACUCCAGAACUGCCUUUGAUACUGAAGAUCUUGAGUAUGGGAGAGGUGAGUGGAACUGCGAGUGUAGAGGUGAAAUUCGUAGAUAUUCGCAAGAACACCAGUGGCGAAGGCGGCUCACUGGCCCAUAACUGACGCUGAGGCACGAAAGCGUGGGGAGCAAACAG